rnacentral:rRNA from 1 species
UACGUAGGGGGCAAGCGUUGUCCGGAUUCAUUGGGCGUAAAGAGCGUGUAGGCGGCCAGGUAGGUCGGUUGUGAAAACUGGAGGCUCAACCUCGAGACGUCGGCGGAAACCAUCUGGCUAGAGUCCGGAAGAGGAGAGUGGAAUUCCUGGUGUAGCGGUGAAAUGCGCAGAUAUCAGGAGGAACACCAAUUGCGAAGGCAGCUCGCUGGGACGUUACUGACGCUGAGACGCGAAAGCGUGGGGAGCAAACAGG